GACGAACGCUGGCGGCGUGCCUAAUACAUGCAAGUUGAGCGCUGAAGGUUGGUACUUGUACCGACUGGAUGAGCAGCGAACGGGUGAGUAACGCGUGGGGAAUCUGCCUUUGAGCGGGGGACAACAUUUGGAAACGAAUGCUAAUACCGCAUAAAAACUUUAAACACAAGUUUUAAGUCUGAAAGAUGCAAUUGCAUCACUCAAAGAUGAUCCCGCGUUGUAUUAGCUAGUUGGUGAGGUAAAGGCUCACCAAGGCGAGGAUACAUAGCCGACCUGAGAGGGUGAUCGGCCACAUUGGGACUGGAACACCGCACAAACUCCUACGGGAGGCAGCAGUAGGGAAUCUUCGGCAAUGGACGAAAGUCUGACCGAGCAACGCCGCGUGAGUGAAGAAGGUUUUCGGAUCGUAAAACUCUGUUGGUAGAGAAGAACGUUGGUGAGAGUGGAAAGCUCAUCAAGUGACGGUAACUACCCAGAAAGGGACGGCUAACUACGUGCCAGCAGCCGCAGUAA
rnacentral:rRNA from 1 species